ACUGAGACACGGCCCAAACUCCUACGGGAGGCAGCAGUGGGGAAUAUUGCACAAUGGGGGAAACCCUGAUGCAGCAACGCCGCGUGAGUGAGGAAGUAUUUCGGUAUGUAAAGCUCUAUCAGCAGGGAAUAGAAAAGAAGGUACCUGAAAAAGAAGCCCCGGCUAACUACGUGCCAGCAGCCGCGGUAAUACGUAGGGGGCAAGCGUUAUCCGGAUUUACUGGGUGUAAAGGGAGCGUAGACGGAAAGGCAAGUCAGAAGUGAAAACCCAAGGCUCAACCAUGGGACUGCUUUUGAAACUGUCAAACUAGAGUACGGGAGAGGUAAGAGGAAUUCCUAGUGUAGCGGUGAAAUGCGUAGAUAUUAGGAGGAACACCAGUGGCGAAGGCGUCUUACUGGACCGAAACUGACGUUGAGGCUCGAAAGCGUGGGGAGCAAACAGGAUUAGAUACCCUGGUAGUCCACGCGGUAAACGAUGAAUACUAGGUGUUGGGGUAAAGAAACCUCG
rnacentral:rRNA from 1 species